rnacentral:rRNA from 1 species
UACAGAGACUGCAAGCGUUAUUCGGAUUCACUGGGCGUAAAGGGUGCGCAGGCGGCCAAGUGUGUGAGGCGUGAAAGCCUGGAGCUUAACUCCAGAAUUGCAUCUCAAACUACAUGGCUAGAGCAUUGGAGAGGGUAGCGGAAUUCACGGUGUAGCAGUGAAAUGCGUAGAUAUCGUGAGGAACACCAGAGGCGAAGGCGGCUACCUGGACAAUUGCUGACGCUCAGGCACGAAAGCGUGGGGAGCAAAAGGG